UACGAAGGGGGCUAGCGUUGCUCGGAAUCACUGGGCGUAAAGCGCACGUAGGCGGAUUCUUAAGUCGGUGGUGAAAGCCUGGAGCUCAACUCCAGAACUGCCUUCGAUACUGAGAGUCUUGAGUCCGGGAGAGGUGAGUGGAACUGCGAGUGUAGAGGUGAAAUUCGUAGAUAUUCGCAAGAACACCAGUGGCGAAGGCGGCUCACUGGCCCAUUACUGACGCUGAGGCACGAAAGCGUGGGGGAGCAAACAGG
rnacentral:rRNA from 1 species